rnacentral:rRNA from 1 species
UACGGAGGGUGCAAGCGUUCUCCGGAUUCCCUGGGUUUAAAGGGUGCGUAGGCGGAAUUGUAAGUCCGUGGUGAAAUCUCCAAGCUUAACUUGGAAACUGCCGUGGAUACUAUAAUUCUUGAAUGUUGUGGAGGUUAGCGGAAUAUGUCAUGUAGCGGUGAAAUGCAUAGAUAUGACAUAGAACACCAAUUGCGAAGGCAGCUGGCUGCACAAAUAUUGACGCUGAGGCACGAAAGCGUGGGGAUCAAACAGG